GCAUGACUGAAUUCUGCGUUAGCUCUUCUAUAGUUAAAGCAGUCAGACAUCAUGCUAAAUUAUCUUCAUCUUGAUUUAAAUUGGUGCUUUGUACUGUCAGAGCCGCAUUUAAAAAGGUGAGCACAAGG